GAUGAACGCUGGCGGCGUGCUUAACACAUGCCAGUCGAACGGAAAGGCUCCUGCUUGCAGGGGUACUCGAGUGGCGAACGGGUGAGUAACACGUGGGUGAUCUGCCCUGCACUUCGGGAUAAGCCUGGGAAACUGGGUCUAAUACCGGAUAGGACCACAUUUUGGAUGGUGUGGUGGAAAGUUUUUCGGUGUGGGAUGAGCUCGCGGCCUAUCAGCUUGUUGGUGGGGUAAUGGCCUACCAAGGCGUCGACGGGUAGCCGGCCUGGGAGGGUGUACGGCCACAUUGGGACUGAGAUACGGCCCAGACUCCUACGGGAGGCAGCAGUGGGGAAUAUUGCACAAUGGGCGCAGGCCUGAGGCAGCGACGCCGCGUGGGGGAUGACGGCCUUCGGGUGGUAAACUCCUUUCGCUAGGGACGAAGCGCAAGUGACGGGACCUGGAGAAGAAGCACCGGCUAACUACGU
rnacentral:rRNA from 1 species